GUCCACAAGAUGUCGCUAUGACACUGUUGUGUUACGCCAGAUUCAAGUAUUUUUAGCACUGUUUUGAGCUUCUUGAUGUACCAUAGUGUUGAUAGGCGUGUAGUGCGCCAUCUUUUCUUCAGUUCAUGUUAUCAACACUAUAGGUAAGACGUGUUAAUAGUAGCGGAAAUUUCAAUUUAAAGUGUCUUUGUUGUUGUCACUCUAAAGUUCUGUCUAUUGAGACAUUUUAUGUUCUAAACUGCUAGAGACCUAAAAGCAGAGUAAUAUGGAGGGUUAAAAUGUUUUUUUUUGUUUUCUCUUUUGAGUGUGGUUAAUACGGGGUGGCUGAUGCAAAGCUAUACAUGGUUAUAUAAGCGGCGAGAGAUUGUUAUUAAAAUGAAGGUGCAUUGGAAUGUACUUUAUUAGAUAAACCUUAAGUGAGUUCAUGUUAUCAACACUAUAGAUGCCGUGCUGUGGAAUAAACGGUCAAGCCACGAUUGGAAACGCCUCUGUGUCGCGUCUCUUCUCUACCACCACUCACGAACGCACACACAACACAACGCAGAGCAGCAGCGGCGGUGCUAGAGGCCAGCAAGCACGCAGAGAGCGAGAGGGUUACAUAAACAUAGACCACAACACCUCAGAAAACUGAACACAGAAGAAGAUAUUUUGAAGAAUGUUGAUCAUCAAACCACACUGAACUCUGUUGACUUCCAUUGCAAGAACACAAAACCACUGAGACAUUUCUCAAAGUAUCUUCUUCUGUGUUCCACUGAAGAAAGACUUGCGACCACAUAAAGAACCCUGAGCCAGUCUCCUAUCAUGCUGAGAACGGCUGCGAAGUACGCCAGACCCACCAGAAUCCAGAACCACACCAGAGUACUCCAGCCCUCGAUGUGUUUGAAGAUGAACGCCGGUAUGGUGACAAACACGAUACAGCCCGCCAGAAUGAAGAGAAUGGUGGAGGUGACGCGGAUUUUCGUCUGACUGAUCUGCUUGUGUUUCUGCUGCGGGGUUGAAUAACAGAGCGAGAUGCUCUUUAUAAACAUGGUGCCGAGCUGAUCACCGAUGCCAGCCAGCAGGAAGCCGAACAAAGGGAUUCCAAAUAUGGCGUAGAGGAUGCAGAAAAUCUUUCCUCCCUCGGUGCUGGGAGCGAUGUUUCCGUAGCCUGUCCACGUGGGUGUAGAAGACAAGAGUGGUGAUGACGGUCCCGGCGAAGAAGAAUGCGCUACUGAGGUCCCAGUGACUGUAAUUAUGGGAUGUGUUUCCAAUGGGACUCACUCCAGCGCUGACCGCAUCCACCGCAUGCUGAAAGAUGCAGAAACAAAUCACACGGCCAUUCCAAGGCAAAAGAAUCCGAUUUAUAUCGCUCCGCUGGGAAACAAGGUCGCUUUUUACAAACUACUGAGCUUCUAAAUCACAGAUGGCUAUAAAUAACUAGAUGCCUCAUUCAAGCGCUCCUGACACGUAGACGUGUCACUCACAGUUUGCUAGAAUGCCACAACCUUACAGCCACGGCUGUGCAUUUUAAUUCCCGAAAAAUGGGAUACCCUCUCGUUGUUGUCAUGUGUUAGUGUAGCAAAUAUAAUGUUUGAGUUUACACAACGACAAAUAUGUCUUCGUAAUCAUACACGGUCUGCUUGCUCUUGAGUGUUAAUGGACCGGCUUGGCAGGGUUGCCAGAUAUGUGAAACAAAAUCCUUCAUCACGAGCCUAACGUCCCUACUCCAAACAACAGAACUUAGCAUUCAUAAAUAUAAAUCAAAUCUUAAGAUUGACAAAAUCCUUCCACUCCUAGCCUGUGGAUAAAACAAACCGGAGCAACGGUAACAAAGUAGUCUCGCGUAGCCAGACCUUCAGCCAACCAGUUACAAAGUAACCCAAUUGCCAGGGCAAACACAAACCGGCUCGCACCGUUCCAAUAUGGCGGACGACCUACGUAUAGGGGCCCGUAGAAACAGAUGCUAAUGCGGCAUCUAGUUAUUUAUAUCUAUGUUCUAAACACCAUUGAACCGCUGUAUUUGUCAAAGUUUGGCGUAUUUAAUAAGCCGGCGCUGCAGUUUAAGAGGAUUAAUCGUGUGUUUGGUUAUGUCUCUGCACAACGUCAGGAAAAGAAGUUCAGUGGAGAAUUCACAUUCACUUCAAUACAAAGACGCUCAGUGUCUGUGUGCUCUCCAUCUUUUAGUAAUUAGAUCUGGUUUCGUGAUUUUCAGACUCGUUUGGGAAUAAAGGGGACAAAUGAACAAAGAUGAGUAAAUUCAAUAUAUCGGUAAGCUCGGUCUCAACCUCUGUGGUGUAUUUUGUUUUAAUGAUAUUUGCCCAAAUCCUGUUUUUCAAUCUCGCCGUUAUAUUGCUUUAAUUUAGUAGCAAUAGAAUUGGUCUUCACAUGCAAACUAUAACAGUAAAUAAAUCCCACGAGUCAGUGAAGGCAAUAAAACAACCUGCUGUACUCCAGAAAGAGUCAUAUUUCUUCUUCUGCAAAUGUCCUGAUGAAGAACGUUUGAGUCAGACUCCUUUCACGGCCAACAACACCAGACGGCCGUCUCUCAUGACUGACAUGAUCUGAUUCCGGACAUAUGAGAUGUGUCCAAGACUUUCUAAGACUCUUAACUUUAACUUAACUGAAGCAAUGCAAGCUGGUGGGUUUCCCAGAGUUGUGAAGCAAAAUCACAGAUAGGAGCAAUGAAAUGAAAUAGAGAGCAAAUGCUUGUACAUGAGUGAGAAAUGUGUGCAAUGUUUAAUGCUAACAUACACUUUUUUCUUAAGUUACAUUCUACAUAAUGUAAAGAACAUUCUGUACAAAUAUAACAUUGAUAUAUUUAAUAUUGACAGAGUAAGACCAUGUCAAAGAUUGAAAUCGUAGUGAAAUGAAUAGGUGAAAUCAAACUUUGAUGCUCGUUAUCUCAGAAUUUGAUUUUCCGACUUUAGCCAGGUUUUCACAGGCAGGGUCACUCACAAAUAGUCAAAUACUUUUGUUUAUUAAAGUGUUUGCUUUGAAACUGGUUCUAGCACAUAUGAAUGUUUGUUGUGUUGAUGUCUACAGUAUAACAAUCCCAGCAUGUGUCAUGUGGCGCUCAUGUGAACGUCUUCAGCAGGGUUUCACUCGCUGGGGUCUCUGCCUUCAUUGGGACAGACAAUACAACAUUGAUUUGCUUGAAACACAUUCUCUGAAAUAGGUCCAAUUGUGUAUGGAAAUGGAGAAUUGAUUUCUUAGGCACGAGUUUCAUCAGCAGAUGUCAGGCAGUAAGAGUAUAAAGAAUAAGAAAUGAAGAACAGAUCUGACCGUUCACGCGUGAGUUAUUGUCAGGUUUUGGAGAACGUUUCUUUUUCAUAAGAAGUGCUUAAAGAGGCCUUGAAAAGUCACAAUGAAGUCAGCUUUGUUGUUGAUCUAUACUCUCAAAACGGUUGUGUUAAAACAACAUAUUUCGGGUUCAGUUAAGGACAACACACAACAUGUCUUGUCUACAUCUCUGUGUCAUUUCUGGGCCAACACAUUUUGUGUUACUUUUAUCACGUGUUGUCACUUUCAUUUAUUUGACACGACAUCAACACAAAAUGUGUUAAAUAGGAGAACACAAGCAACAUGUUAAUAUUUAACACAUCCUUUUUAAGAGUGUACCUCAUCAAACUACCCAGCUUACUGUAUAUAAGAUGUUGUGCUACAUUACCGUUAAGUUACAAAAACAUUUGCUUGUUACGUUUUAUAUCUUUUAUAUACGUUUAUAAUAAUAAUGACAUAGUGUGUUGAUCAAAUGCUCUUUUAACAUUACUGCAAGAAAAUUUUGAAUAAGCCAAAGUUCUGAGAACAUUCCCCAUUAGCUGUUUAUAUACAGUACUGUAAGUAUAUGUAUAUAUAUUAUGAGUUGUUGGUUUACCAAAAUGGUUUUGUUUAAGCCCUAAUUUAUGCAUUUUUGUUCCUUUGUUCAGGAUGAUGACUAAAUGCUAAUCUCUGAAUGUUUGGCUUUCUUGUAGCUGGACGUGAAGAGUGAGGUGAUAGCAAACUCAAGGUCAGGGAUUCGAUGGCCGGGGAAUGGAGGUCUUAAUAAACAGUUUAGUCACAUACUGAAUAGAUCCCUGGACAUUUACAUCAUUUGCAUGACGCCGCCUCACUGUCUGCUAGCUACGAAGAACCGUCUGAGACUGAGUGAAUACUGUAUAUCUGUACCUUAAUAAGAUCCUCCAGCUCUGCCGGGGAGACGCAGGGGUUCCUCUGUAGAAACGAGGCUUUCUCUUGCGUGAUG